rnacentral:rRNA from 1 species
GACGAACGCUGGCGGCGUGCCUAAUACAUGCAAGUAGAACGCUGAAGGAGGGAGCUUGCUUCUUCUGGAUGAGUUGCGAACGGGUGAGUAACGCGUAGGUAACCUGCCUGAUAGCGGGGGAUAACUAUUGGAAACGAUAGCUAAUACCGCAUAAGAGGUAAUAACACAUGUUAUUGGUUUAAAAGGGGCAACUGCUCCACUAUCAGAUGGACCUGCGUUGUAUUAGCUAGUUGGUAAGGUAACGGCUUACCAAGGCGACGAUACAUAGCCGACCUGAGAGGGUGAUCGGCCACACUGGGACUGAGACACGGCCCAGACUCCUACGGGAGGCAGCAGUAGGGAAUCUUCGGCAAUGGGGGGAACCCUGAACGAGCAAUGCCGCGUGAGUGAGGAAGGUCUUCGGGAUCGUAAAGCUCUGUUGUAAGAGAAAAACGGGCACUCAUAGGGAAUGAUGAGUGAGUG